rnacentral:sRNA from 1 species
UGGGCAACAGCAUAGUGAGACCAGGAAGCAAAAAAAAAAUGUUCUCACUCAUAUCUUAUUCAGUGAAGGACUUCAGAGACAAAUGUUUCUACCCGACCCUCCUUUCUGCCCCACAGGUCUCCAACUGGUUUGGCAACAAGAGGAUUCGCUAUAAGAAAAACAUCGGAAAGUUCCAAGAGGAGGCAAACAUCUAUGCCGUCAAGACCGCCGUGUCAGUCACCCAGGGGGGCCACAGCCGCACCAGCUCCCCGACACCCCCUUCCUCUGCAGGCUCUGGCGGCUCUUUCAAUCUCUCAGGAUCUGGAGACAUGUUUCUGGGGAUGCCUGGGCUCAACGGAGAUUCCUAUUCUGCUUCCCAGGUCAGAAAGCCCUCCUCUCGAGUAGGGCUUUCCCCAAUUCCAUUUCCCCUACUUUAGGAUACAAGACCUCUUUCCUCUGAGGCUUCUCUUCAGUGUCAUACCUUCCUCUGCUGCCUGCAGGUGGAAUCACUCCGACAUUCGAUGGGGCCAGGGGGCUAUGGGGAUAACCUCGGGGGAGGCCAGAUGUACAGCCCACGGGAAAUGAGGGUGAGUGGAUCCUGAAGCCCCUCUCUGUCCAGUUCUCACAGGACAGAGGGGCAUUUUCCCUAGUAAUGUUGUGCCCACACAGGGUUCCCAGGGCCUUCUCUGUUUUCUGUACUCUGUCUCUCCUUUCAGGCAAAUGGCAGCUGGCAGGAGGCUGUGACCCCCUCUUCAGUGACAUCCCCAACGGAGGGACCAGGGAGUGUUCACUCUGAUACCUCCAACUGAUCUUGCCCCUCAGGGUCACAGGGGUGGGGGCUCUCACAAGGCGACUCUUGAAGAGGACGCAGGCUUCCAGAGGACAAACCCCAAUACAGGAGAAGCACAAGACAGAGAAGGGCCAAUGGGGUCAUCCC